UACGGGGGGAGCAAGCGUUGUUCGGAUUUACUGGGCGUAAAGAGCGCGCAGGCGGUCGUUCAAGUCGCGUGUGAAAGCCCCCGGCUCAACCGGGGAGGGUCACGCGAUACUGAUCGACUCGAAGGCAGGAGAGGGUAGUGGAAUUCCCGGUGUAGUGGUGAAAUGCGUAGAUAUCGGGAGGAACACCAGUGGCGAAGGCGACUACCUGGCCUGUUUCUUGACGCUGAGGCGCGAAAGCUAGGGGAGCAAACGGG
rnacentral:rRNA from 1 species